CGCGCAGGUGGUUCUGUAUGUCUAUCGUGAAAGCGUACGGCUCAACCGUAUUUUGUCGGUAGAAACUGCAGGACUUGAGGCUGGGAGGGGCUGGUGGAAUUCCCUGUGUAGCGGUGAAAUGCGUAGAGAUGGGGGGAGAACACUCGUGGCGAAGGCGGCCAGCUAGACCAGUUCUGACACUGAGGCGCGACAGCGUGGGGAGCAAACA
rnacentral:rRNA from 1 species